GCAGGAUGGUAGCUCAGCGGUAGAGCACCUGCCUUGCAUGCAAAAGGUCACAGGUUCAAUUCCUAGAGUGGGGGGCG